CCUACGGGUGGCAGCAGUGAGGAAUAUUGGUCAAUGGGCGCGAGCCUGAACCAGCCAAGUCGCGUGAAGGAUGACUGCCCUACGGGUUGUAAACUUCUUUUGUAAAGGAAUAAAGUGAGGCACGUGUGCCUUUUUGUAUGUACUUUAUGAAUAAGGAUCGGCUAACUCCGUGCCAGCAGCCGCGGUAAUACGGAGGAUCCGAGCGUUAUCCGGAUUUAUUGGGUUUAAAGGGAGCGUAGAUGGGUUGUUAAGUCAGUUGUGAAAGUUUGCGGCUCAACCGUAAAAUUGCAAUUGAUACUGGCAGCCUUGAGUACGGUAGAGGUAGGCGGAAUUCGUGGUGUAGCGGUGAAAUGCUUAGAUAUCACGAAGAACUCCGAUUGCGAAGGCAGCUUACUAAACUGCCACUGACGCUGAGGCACGAAAGUGUGGGUAUCAAACAGGAUUAGAUACCCCAGUAGUC
rnacentral:rRNA from 1 species